GAAGGCAAAGCUCAGUGGUAGACUGUAUGCUUAGCAUGCAUGAGGUCCUGGGUUCAAUCCCCAGUACCUCCA
rnacentral:tRNA from 1 species